UACGGAGGGGGCUAGCGUUGUUCGGAAUUACUGGGCGUAAAGCGCGCGUAGGCGGCUUUGUAAGUUAGAGGUGAAAGCCCGGAGCUCAACUCCGGAACUGCCUUUAAGACUGCAUCGCUAGAAUUGUGGAGAGGUGAGUGGAAUUCCGAGUGUAGAGGUGAAAUUCGUAGAUAUUCGGAAGAACACCAGUGGCGAAGGCGGCUCACUGGUCCGGUACUGACGCUGAGGUGCGAAAGCGUGGGGAGCGAACAGG
rnacentral:rRNA from 1 species